rnacentral:tRNA from 2 species
GGCACUUUGGCCGAGUGGUUAAGGCGCCGUGUUCAGGUCGCGGUCCGAAAGGGCGUGGGUUCGAAUCCCACAGGUGUCA